rnacentral:rRNA from 1 species
AUGAACGCUGGCGGCGUGCCUAAUACAUGCAAGUCGCGCGAACGGACGAGAAGCUUGCUUCUCUGAUGUUAGCGGCGGACGGGUGAGUAACACGUGGAUAACCUACCUAUAAGACUGGGAUAACUUCGGGAAACCGGAGCUAAUACCGGAUAAUAUUUUGAACCGCAUGGUUCAAAAGUGAAAGACGGUCUUGCUGUCACUUAUAGAUGGAUCCGCGCUGCAUUAGCUAGUUGGUAAGGUAACGGCUUACCAAGGCAACGAUGCAUAGCCGACCUGAGAGGGUGAUCGGCCACACUGGAACUGAGACACGGUCCAGACUCCUACGGGAGGCAGCAGUAGGGAAUCUUCCGCAAAGGGCGAAAGCCUGACGGAGCAACGCCGCGUGAGUGAUGAAGGUCUUCGGAUCGUAAAACUCUGUUAUUAGGGAAGAACAUAUGUGUAAGUAACUGUGCACAUCUUGACGGUACCUAAUCAGAAAGCCACGGCUAACUACGCG